rnacentral:rRNA from 1 species
CUGGAAAGGCGCGCGAUACAGGGUGACAGCCCCGUACACAAAAAUGCACAUAUUGUGAGCUCGAUGAGUAGGGCGGGACACGUGGUAUCCUGUCUGAAUAUGGGGGGACCAUCCUCCAAGGCUAAAUACUCCUGACUGACCGAUAGUGAACCAGUACCGUGAGGGAAAGGCGAAAAGAACCCCGGCGAGGGGAGUGAAAAAGAACCUGAAACCGUGUACGUACAAGCAGUGGGAGCCUCUUAAUGGGGUGACUGCGUACCUUUUGUAUAAUGGGUCAGCGACUUAUAUUCUGUAGCAAGGUUAACCGAAUAGGGGAGCCGAAGGGAAACCGAGUCUUAACUGGGCGUUAAGUUGCAGGGUAUAGACCCGAAACCCGGUGAUCUAGCCAUGGGCAGGUUGAAGGUUGGGUAACACUAACUGGAGGACCGAACCGACUAAUGUUGAAAAAUUAGCGGAUGACUUGUGGCUGGGGGUGAAAGGCCAAUCAAACCGGGAGAUAGCUGGUUCUCCCCGAAAGCUAUUUAGGUAGCGCCUCGUGAAUUCAUCUCCGGGGGUAGAGCACUGUUUCGGCAAGGGGGUCAUCCCGACUUACCAACCCGAUGCAAACUGCGAAUACCGGAGAAUGUUAUCACGGGAGACACACGGCGGGUGCUAACGUCCGUCGUGAAGAGGGAAACAACCCAGACCGCCAGCUAAGGUCCCAAAGUCAUGGUUAAGUGGGAAACGAUGUGGGAAGGCCCAGACAGCCAGGAUGUUGGCUUAGAAGCAGCCAUCAUUUAAAGAAAGCGUAAUAGCUCACUGGUCGAGUCGGCCUGCGCGGAAGAUGUAACGGGGCUAAACCAUGCACCGAAGCUGCGGCAGCGACACUAUGUGUUGUUGGGUAGGGGAGCGUUCUGUAAGCCUGUGAAGGUGGCCUGUGAGGGUUGCUGGAGGUAUCAGAAGUGCGAAUGCUGACAUAAGUAACGAUAAAGCGGGUGAAAAGCCCGCUCGCCGGAAGACCAAGGGUUCCUGUCCAACGUUAAUCGGGGCAGGGUGAGUCGACCCCUAAGGCGAGGCCGAAAGGCGUAGUCGAUGGGAAACAGGUUAAUAUUCCUGUACUUGGUGUUACUGCGAAGGGGGGACGGAGAAGGCUAUGUUGGCCGGGCGACGGUUGUCCCGGUUUAAGCGUGUAGGCUGGUUUUCCAGGCAAAUCCGGAAAACCAAGGCUGAGGCGUGAUGACGAGGCACUACGGUGCUGAAGCGACAAAUGCCCUGCUUCCAGGAAAAGCCUCUAAGCAUCAGGUAACAUCAAAUCGUACCCCAAACCGACACAGGUGGUCAGGUAGAGAAUACCAAGGCGCUUGAGAGAACUCGGGUGAAGGAACUAGGCAAAAUGGUGCCGUAACUUCGGGAGAAGGCACGCUGAUAUGUAGGUGAAGCGACUUGCUCGUGGAGCUGAAAUCAGUCGAAGAUACCAGCUGGCUGCAACUGUUUAUUAAAAACACAGCACUGUGCAAACACGAAAGUGGACGUAUACGGUGUGACGCCUGCCCGGUGCCGGAAGGUUAAUUGAUGGGGUUAGCGGUAACGCGAAGCUCUUGAUCGAAGCCCCGGUAAACGGCGGCCGUAACUAUAACGGUCCUAAGGUAGCGAAAUUCCUUGUCGGGUAAGUUCCGACCUGCACGAAUGGCGUAAUGAUGGCCAGGCUGUCUCCACCCGAGACUCAGUGAAAUUGAACUCGCUGUGAAGAUGCAGUGUACCCGCGGCAAGACGGAAAGACCCCGUGAACCUUUACUAUAGCUUGACACUGAACAUUGAGCCUUGAUGUGUAGGAUAGGUGGGAGGCUUUGAAGUGUGGACGCCAGUCUGCAUGGAGCCGGCCUUGAAAUACCACCCUUUAAUGUUUGAUGUUCUAACGUUGGCCCGUAAUCCGGGUUGCGGACAGUGUCUGGUGGGUAGUUUGACUGGGGCGGUCUCCUCCUAAAGAGUAACGGAGGAGCACGAAGGUUGGCUAAUCCUGGUCGGACAUCAGGAGGUUAGUGCAAUGGCAUAAGCCAGCUUGACUGCGAGCGUGACGGCGCGAGCAGGUGCGAAAGCAGGUCAUAGUGAUCCGGUGGUUCUGAAUGGAAGGGCCAUCGCUCAACGGAUAAAAGGUACUCCGGGGAUAACAGGCUGAUACCGCCCAAGAGUUCAUAUCGACGGCGGUGUUUGGCACCUCGAUGUCGGCUCAUCACAUCCUGGGGCUGAAGUAGGUCCCAAGGGUAUGGCUGUUCGCCAUUUAAAGUGGUACGCGAGCUGGGUUUAGAACGUCGUGAGACAGUUCGGUCCCUAUCUGCCGUGGGCGCUGGAGAACUGAGGGGGG